UACGUAGGGUGCGAGCGUUGUCCGGAAUUAUUGGGCGUAAAGAGCUCGUAGGCGGUUUGUCGCGUCUGCUGUGAAAUCCCGAGGCUCAACCUCGGGCCUGCAGUGGGUACGGGCAGGCUGGAGUUCGGUAGGGGAGACUGGAAUUCCUGGUGUAGCGGUGAAAUGCGCAGAUAUCAGGAGGAACACCGGUGGCGAAGGCGGGUCUCUGGGCCGAUACUGACGCUGAGGAGCGAAAGCGUGGGGAGCAAACAGG
rnacentral:rRNA from 1 species